rnacentral:sRNA from 16 species
CAUCAAUACUUACGUGAAACUACUCUCCAACCCCUCCCGCUCAUCCUUCUUCAUUUUCAUCAGAUACGCGUCCAAAAAGUCGUCAGGCUCAUCGUGAAGCACG